CCUAGGAGAAAAUGGUUUAUGGGCGA
rnacentral:piRNA from 1 species